UACGUAGGGUGCGAGCGUUAAUCGGAAUUACUGGGCGUAAAGCGUGCGCAGGCGGUCUGUUAAGACCGAUGUGAAAUCCCCAAACUUAACCUGGGAACUGCAUUGGUGACUGGCAGGCUUUGAGUGUGGCAGAGGGAGGUAGAAUUCCACGUGUAGCAGUGAAAUGCGUAGAGAUGUGGAGGAAUACCGAUGGCGAAGGCAGCCUCCUGGGCCAACACUGACGCUCAUGCACGAAAGCGUGGGGAGCAAACAGG
rnacentral:rRNA from 1 species